UUCGCGCCUGCGCAUUGCUUCAUCCAAUAUGGCGGCAGUUACACAGGGGUCGGGUACUGCGUUUGCCUUGGAAUCUAAUACCGAAACGAAUAUUUUCAAAUGAUUUUUAAUGUGUGUCUUACGACAGAUUCACACAAGUGCUGAUUAAACUGGGAAAAAUAAAAAAGAGACCAUUUAAAAACACUUUCUGAAACCUAUCCUACUGUCAGGUGUCUGGCUUUCAUCUACAUAUGUGCUUGUUGCAGUCUGACUAUAAUCAGUUGCUGGACAGUUGUCCCCGCAUCCAUCCUGGCAUGUAGGGUCAUCACCUGGGACUUUCCAUGAAGCUCCAAAUACAUUGACGUCGGUGACGAUGGUUCCAUUAGGAAGCAUGAACUCAUCAUUAACAUUAUUAUUAAAGUUUCCACAAAGCGCUUGCAGGUUAUUCUCAUAGCUUCCGGGAAUCUGAACAAUUGUUCUGUGGGCGGCGUCGUAGAGGACUUUCACCUCGGCUUCUGUCUGGAUGACUAUAAAGUGGCCUUCUUUGUUUACGAAGCCCUUCCCACAUGGACAGAACACAGGGAGUUGCUUGACUUCACCAUUGAUCUAGGACAGAUAUGUAGAUAACCAGUCAUUGGUAAUAGUGGAACCCUUUUGUAAUCAAUAGGUUUUAUUACUACAUUUUGAAUAUUCAUUAGAAUCAAUACUUUAGAG